rnacentral:rRNA from 1 species
AGUCGAACGCUUCUUUUUCCACCGGAGCUUGCUCCACCGGAAAAGAGGAGUGGCGAACGGGUGAGUAACACGUGGGUAACCUGCCCAUCAGAAGGGGAUAACACUUGGAAACAGGUGCUAAUACCGUAUAACAAUCGAAACCGCAGGGUUUUGAUUUGAAAGGCGCUUUCGGGUGUCGCUGAUGGAUGGACCCGCGGUGCAUUAGCUAGUUGGUGAGGUAACGGCUCACCAAGGCGACGAUGCAUAGCCGACCUGAGAGGGUGAUCGGCCACAUUGGGACUGAGACACGGCCCAAACUCCUACGGGAGGCAGCAGUAGGGAAUCUUCGGCAAUGGACGAAAGUCUGACCGAGCAACGCCGCGUGAGUGAAGAAGGUUUUCGGAUCGUAAAACUCUGUUGUUAGAGAAGAACAAGGAUGAGAGUAACUGUUCAUCCCUUGACGGUAUCUAACCAGAAAGCCACGGCUAACUACGUGCCAGCAGCCGCGGUAAUACGUAGGUGGCAAGCGUUGUCCGGAUUUAUUGGGCGUAAAGCGAGCGCAGGCGGUUUCUUAAGUCUGAUGUGAAAGCCCCCGGCUCAACCGGGGAGGGUCAUUGGAAACUGGGAGACUUGAGUGCAGAAGAAGGAGAGUGGAAUUCCAUGUGUAGCGGUGAAAUGCGUAGAUUUAUGGAGGAACACCAGUGGCGAAAGGCGGCUCUCUGGUCUGUAACUGACGCUAAGGCUCGAAAGCGUGGGGGAGCAAACAGGGAUUAGAUACCCUGGGUAGUCCACGCCGUAAACCAAUGAAUGGCUAAGUGUUGGAAGGGUUUCCGCCCUUCAGGGCUGCAGCUAACGCAUUAAGCACUCCGCCCGGGGGAAUACAAACCGCCAGGGUUAAAACCCCAAAGGAAUGGACGGGGGCCCCCCCAAAACGGUGGAAACCGGUGGGUUUAAUUUCCAAACAACCCCAAAAAACCUUU